rnacentral:rRNA from 1 species
UCGGGAUGCGGACAGUGGCAGACGGGUGAGUAACGCGUGGGAAUUUGCCCAGAGGUUCGGGACAACCAUUGGAAACGAUGGCUAAUACCGGAUAUGCCCGUAAGGGGAAAGAUUUAUCGCCUUUGGAUAAGCCCGCGUAAGAUUAGCUAGUUGGUGAGGUAAUGGCUCACCAAGGCGACGAUCUUUAGCUGGUCUGAGAGGAUGAUCAGCCACAUUGGGACUGAGACACGGCCCAGACUCC